GUCUGGCUGGUGGUUGUGGAGCCGGGUGUCUGGCCGGUGGUUGUGGAGCCGGGUGUCUGGCCGUUGGGUGUGGCGCCGGGUGUCUGGCCUGUGUUUGUGGAGCCGGGUGUCUGGCCGGUGGUUGUAGAGCCGGGUGUCUGGCCGGUGGUUGUGGAGCCGGGUGCCUGGCAGGUGGAUGUGGAGCCGGGUGUCUGGCUGGUGGUUGUGGAGCCGGGUGUCUGGCUGGUGGUUGUGGAGCCGGGUGCCUGGCAGGUGGUCGUGGAGCUGUGUGUCUGGCCGGUGGAUGUGGAGCCGGGUGUCUGGCUGGUGGUUGUGGAGCCGGGUGUUUGGCAGGUGGUCGUGGAGCUGUGUGUCUGGCCGGUGGAUGUGGAGUCGGGUGUAUGGCCCGUGGUCGCCAUGUUGGUUGUCUAGCCGGUUGUCGCGGAGGUGACAUGGUCAGCCAUGACUGCGAGGUGGCAGGGUUGGAAAUGAUGUCAUCAUUCCCCGUGGUGACGGUGGCUGGAGUGGCUGAUGUCGGCCGAGCAGUUCCGGAAGCCGAAGGGAUGUUUCUGGAAUGGUUGAGGAAUCCCGACUAUUGAGGCAAAUAUCACGGAAUUGGAAAUCACAGACCUGUUAAAGUAUCGUUCAUCUCACCCUGCCUAUACUGCUUGUCAUAUGAGUGUAGGAGGUAUAGCCAGAAAGUAAAGUUGUGCCUUUAACAUUUACCCUAAUCUGGCUCUUGAAAGAAUGUUUAUCCACAAAAUAUUGGUUUUACUAUGAUAGUCUCGAUGAUCACCUUUCAGUGUACACCUCAUCACCACAGCCUUCUUUCUAUCUUCUGAGCCAUUUCCAGCUCAGUUUUCCUUCACCUGUUAGACCACUGAGGACUUCUGGAACAUUUUGGACUGCGCAUCGUCUGGCACCUCUGCCCUCUCUGGGUGGUCCUGCCAGGAGCAAGGGGCUCUCAAUGGUUUUGGUCAAGAGAUCAAAUGAAGGUCAAUACCUCUCCCUCACGUCAAGCUGAUGAUUCGUAGAGAUACGUGGCUUUCCUUUGUUACAAAAAGUGUCUAGAGUUUGAAUUCAAUGGCUGUAAAAUGUUUUGGGAUGUCCCAGAGGUUAUAAAAAGUAGACAGGCAGGAGGCUGGAAGAACACAGCAAGCCAGGCAGCAUCAGAAGGUGGAGAAGUCAACAUUUCAGAACUACAUCUGCAGUGAAACAGGAUGUUAAACUGAAAGCUCAUAGCUGAGAAAAUCAUUGAGAGGAAAUGUCACCAUUAACAGAUGGAAAAUUAGAACUACAUUAUUUAAUUGUUUAAAUGUUAUCUGGUAGAGUACUGACUAACACCUGGUGCCAAAUUGUUUUCUGUACUAAUUUAACCUAAAUUAUUGCCAUUAAACAAGUGAACAAUUGUAAUAAAGAGACACUUCCUGGAUCUCUCACUGAUAUCUUAUAUUGUUGUCAGAGGAAAUGAAUAAUCCUUACUAUCUAAAGGGGUAUUUCAGGUUUUGUUACAACUUGCAGCAAAAUUAAAGUGAUUAAACUGAA